CGGGCGGGACGGCCGUCCAUGAACGAGCCGCCGGUACCUGAUACGGCCGGCGCAG
rfam:Thermomonospora curvata DSM 43183, complete genome.